CGGGGUGAGUAACGCGUGGAUAACCUGCCUUACACUGGGGGAUAACACUUAGAAAUAGGUGCUAAUACCGCAUAAGCGCACAGAGCCGCAUGGCUCAGUGUGAAAAACUCCGGUGGUGUAAGAUGGAUCCGCGUCUGAUUAGCUGGUUGGCGGGGUAAAGGCCCACCAAGGCGACGAUCAGUAGCCGGCCUGAGAGGGUGAACGGCCACAUUGGGACUGAGACACGGCCCAAACUCCUACGGAAGGCAGCAG
rnacentral:rRNA from 1 species